UAGGGAAUCUUCCGCAAUGGGCGAAAGCCUGACGGAGCAACGCCGCGUGAGUGAUGAAGGUCUUCGGAUCGUAAAACUCUGUUAUUAGGGAAGAACAAAUGUGUAAGUAACUAUGCACGUCUUGACGGUACCUAAUCAGAAAGCCACGGCUAACUACGCGCCAGCAGCCGCGGUAAUACGUAGGUGGCAAGCGUUAUCCGGAAUUAUUGGGCGUAAAGCGCGCGUAGGCGGUUUUUUAAGUCUGAUGUGAAAGCCCACGGCUCAACCGUGGAGGGUCAUUGGAAACUGGGAAACUUGAGUGCAGAAGAGGAAAGUGGAAUUCCAUGUGUAGCGGUGAAAUGCGCAGAGAUAUGGAGGAACACCAGUGGCGAAGGCGACUUUCUGGUCUGUAACUGACGCUGAUGUGCGAAAGCGUGGGGAUCAAACAGG
rnacentral:rRNA from 1 species